GCCUGGGUGGCUCAGUCGGUUGAGCAUCUGACUUCAGCUCAGGUCAUGGUCUCACGGUUCAUGGGUUCGAGCCCCACGUCGGGCU
rnacentral:tRNA from 1 species